UUUCCGUAGGUGAACCUGCGGAAGGAUCAUUAGUGAAUUUUAGGGCGUCGACUUGUAGAGCCUGACCUCCACUUUCUUACCCUGUGCACUUAUUUGGCGGAAAAAGGGAAUAGUGAGUGUUUAACGACGAUUGCGAAUUCCUUAUUUCUGCGGCUUACUUUAAACGCUAGUCAAAGUAUGUAACGACAUAUAGAAAUACAAAAAAACUUUCAACAACGGAUCUCUUGGCUCUC
rnacentral:misc_RNA from 1 species